CCCAACACCAUUUUGCUUCCGACCGUUCCACUGCACUCGCUCUCAUCGCCGUCGAUGACUCGCAUCACCGCGCCGCCGCCGCCGUCCUCGCCCCCGGGGUCCCCGCCGCCCAUCCGCCACUCGCCGGCACCGGCGAUCCCGCUCUCCCGCCGCCGCGGCCGCCACUCGCCGUCCCCGUCCCUCGCGCUCACCCCCUCCUCAUCCGCCUCGACCUCCGCCGCCACCUCCUCGAGGCCGAAGCUGCGCCCCACGCCGAAGCGAGCCUACACGCCGGCGCAGUGGGUGCUGCUGUCCUCCCACCCCGACUUCUCCAGACGCGACGGCGAGGGCGGCGGUGGCGCCGCCGCGUGGGACCCCACAGCGUCGCGGCUGUACGCGUGGGACCCUUCGGCGUGCGGCGCCCACCGGAUAGGCGUGCGGAUUAGGGACCCGGAGGCGGAGAAUGACGGGGAGGAGGUCGCCGUCGAAGCCGCCGUGCCUUCCGAGAUGUUGAUGCCAGAGACUGAUCUUGGUUAUGUGGUCACUCAUGUAUCACUCAACACGGAUGGUUCAUCACUGCUACUUGUUGGAUCACAUAAUCUCAGUGUCCUGUAUGUACAUGAGAGGGUGUCUGAAGACGGUGAUACAAUCAUAUGCAGAUAUGAAAUUCACAACAGGACUGCACCAAUUGCUUCCCAGAUCCUACCUAGUAACAAUGAUGGCAUAAAAGUUCUGCAGGCAUCUUGGCAUCCUUUUAGCAACAACCAUUUUGCAGUUUUGAGUUUUGACAUCAGAUGCUGUUUUCAGAUUAUUUGAUCUAUCAUCUGAUUUAGAGCAGCCAGAGCAGGAAUUUUAUUUGCAGCCAAUACUACCUGGAAAAUGUCAGAAUGCUUCGGCAAUUUGUCCAGUAGCAUUCUCUUUUGGGAGUGAACAUCUAUGGGAUAGAUUUUCGGUUUUCAUCUUAUUCAGUGAUGGUUCAAUUUUUGUGCUAUGUCCUGUUGUUCCAUUUGGAAGUGACUAUAGCAAGAAACAUAUUCAAGAAAUAUAUGAAGAUGUUAAUGCAUUUGGAUUGAAAUCUUCAAAUCCAAAUGUUGUUACUAACUCACAUUUGGCCAUAGCUUGGUUGGAGGCAACAUUUCCUGACUUGUUACAUCAAUCAACAGAUACCAGCUUGUUGAUGUCAAAAGCUCAUCCAUAUGCGCCUGUAGAUGAUUCUCUAACUUUACAGGGGCCUCUUUGUAGAGUUUGUGAGGAAAAUAACGAAUCUGAAGGUAAGAGUAGCAAUUGUGAAGGCAAAGCUGUAGGUUUUAUGUACAGUUCUGCCGGCAAAGAUUCAAUUCUUGUGACGGCAUGGGGUAGUGGACAGCUCCAGGUUGAUGCUCUCGCUGAUGAAAUUCAACCGCAGUGGAACAUUGGGAUUCCUACUCGCCUUAAUGUCGAUUCACAUGGACAAAUAAAGAGUGUUGCCAUGAUAUGUGAUUCCAAUUCACAAGAUCCAUUGGCCUUGAGAUCGCAUCGACCAUCCAGUACGGGAUCCAAUGUGAAGAGCAACAUAGAAGCCAUUUGGAUGGGGCACUCUCCUCCUUUGCUAAGGCUUGCAAUUGUGGAUUUGGCGCUACCAAAAGCUCCCAGUGAUAGCUCUUUGUCCUUGUUUCCGGAUCCCCUUGUUCCAGAGAGAUUGUAUUGUGCUCAUGGUGGGGGGCUUGACAUGGUCACACUACACUUCCUACCAUUUUCAUACCCUGAAAUGGCUUCAACACCACCCUCCGUGCAUCCUAUCCUCACGACAGGCAAUAGUGACACAAGUUCUCCUUUCCUUUCUGGAUUUGUUGCAAUAGCUGAUGCAUAUGGUCAUGUACAAUUAGUUGGUAUCACAUGCCUGGGUGAGUGCUUUGUGGUGGAGAUGAAGGGUUGGAAGGAACCAACACCUCUUCAACUUGACAUAGAUAGCAAGAGUAUUAAGGAUGUGGAGCCUCCUGCAACUGGAAUGAUCAGCAAAGAGCUUAUUGCUGGUCCAGACCCACCCAUACUUCCAUCUUCAUCAAGCCUGAAGUCAUUGACCCCUGACUCUAUUGAAGGAAAAUCCACGCUUCAUCACUAUAUUAAGGUCUUCCAUGAGUACUAUGUGGAGUACGGACACAAGGUUUUCAUUGAGCUCAAGGAGCAUGCAGACUAUGUGAAGACAGAACUUGAAGACAAACAGAAACGCUUAGAAGCAGUGAAGAAAUCACUUCUAUCCAUAGAAACCAAAGACCAAGAAAUUAACAAGAGGAUAGACAGGGCCUUCAAGGUGUAUGAAUUGUUGGAGAAGCGGAUAGAUAGCUUCAAGAUGCUUCCUGCUGCAAAUAAGAAACCGUUAUCUCAGGCAGAGCAGGAGUUUAAGGCACAGCUUGAUAGGUUUGCAGAUGUGGAGCUGGAUGCUUUACGUUCUUCUAUUGCUGCCCUUAGCGUGAGGAUGAAGCGGUUUGCUCAGCAAUCCGUGGGAGGUGUAGCUGGCACAGGAGUGGUACCGUGGCAGGCACCAAAGACGGGAGGAAGCCAUAUUUCAGAAUCCCAGAUGUCACUGCUAAAAUCUUCACUUGAGAAGCUCUCGCUCCUUAACGAAGAGAACAAUCUGAAGCUUCGGCUAAUCGAUAAUGAACUCAAGAACAAGGAGAAAUAGGUGAUAUGUUGACUGUUGUUGUCCGAAGGCAAAAGUGCAGUUGUGUGCACAAAACUAACGAUCUUUUGGUUGGCAGGUCUUAGCAGUACUUGAAUUUCAGAGACAGCUUUCUAUCACACUUCUAUGUGUUUAAGGUCUGGUGGACCUGUGAACUCUCCUGAAUGCUGCAUCAACUGUUGGUUAAACUUUUCAAGGGAAGGCUGCACACGACAUGAUGCGAAGUGUUAAGCAGCUAGCACUGCAAGUGGGGUAUCAGGGUGAUGUAACUACCAGAAACUUGUGUUGAUAGCUCAAUUUAACCAGUCACCUGUAGUUCUACACCUUGCAUCCGCGAAUUAUGAUCACAGUGUAUUUCUCGUAAAACAUUAUGAUCCGCGAAUUACAAACUGCUAA